UACGUAAGGGGCUAGCGUUGUCCGGAAUUACUGGGCGUAAAGAGCACGUAGGCGGCUAUGUAAGCGGCGGGUGAAAUCCCACGGCUCAACCGUGGAACUGCUUGCCGAACUGCAUAGCUAGAGUACGGGAGAGGACAGUGGAAUUCCUGGUGUAGCGGUGGAAUGCGUCAAUAUCAGGAAGAACACCAGUGGCGAAGGCUGCUGUCUGGAACGUUACUGACGCUGAGGUGCGAAAGCUAGGGGAGCAAACGGGAUUAGAUACCCCCGUA
rnacentral:rRNA from 1 species